GUUCCUUUCUCUGACAAGGUAUGCAUAAAGACACCGAGUGAAAAUGAAGUCUUCCUUGGAUGGACAAAGUGAUGGUGACUAUGAGACAGAUACAUUAUGUUAUAUAAGAGUUCAGGUUAUCUCUCUUAGUAACAAGAUCGGAAAAAUGAGAAUUAGAAUCCUUACUGCAGUCGCAUCUCUUCCAUCCACCACUGUUAAAUCUUCUAGGAACCAGACCGCCUGAGUCAAGUAUUUCUCUUUAAGCCCAUUAGGUACUCUAUACUUGAAGAAAUAUACUUGGCCACAGACAAUAAUGCAGAUAAAAGAAUAGAAAAUUGUUCAUAAAUUUGCAUCUUCAUCCGAAGUGUACAUGGUUAGUCC